rnacentral:rRNA from 1 species
AAUGAACGCUGGCGGCAUGCCUAAUACAUGCAAGUCGAGCGAACGGACGAGAAGCUUUCUUCUCUGAUGUUAGCGGCGGACGGGCGAGUAACACGUGGAUAACCUACCUAUAAGACUGGGAUAACUUCGGGAAACCGGAGCUACUACCGGCUAAUAUUUUGAACCGCAUGGUUCAAAAGUUAAAGACGGUCUUGCUGUCACUUAUAGAUGGAUCCGCGCUGCAUUAGCUAGUUGGUAAGGUAACGGCUUACCAAGGCAACGAUGCAUAGCCGACCUGAGAGGGUGAUCGGCCACACUGGAACUGAGACACGGUCCAGACUCCUACGGGAGGCAGCAGUAGGGAAUCUUCCGCAAUGGGCGAAAGCCUGACGGAGCAACGCCGCGUGAGUGAUGAAGGUCUUCGGAUCGUAAAACUCUGUUAUUAGGGAAGAACAUAUGUGUAAGUAACUGUGCACAUCUUGACGGUACCUAAUCAGAAAGCAACGGCUAACUACGUG